GCGCGUAGAUGGUUCCCACAAUGCUUUGCGGCAGGCGGACGUGGUCCUGCGGCCGAUGCCGCGGCUCCGGUGAGGCAGGGAGUUCGAAACGGUCGGCUACGCCUCGCAGAGCAGUUGCCUAGCAACAGACCCAGGCCCGCCCGACCAGCCGGCCGUGCGGGGCGCGCAGAGGCGGCUCAGCAGUCUCGGAUGAUGACCCAGCACAUGUUGUUUGUUUUAAGAACACUUUCACUGCAAAUUUGAUAAAAAGCAAAGAAGAUACUGAUGUGAAAUUUCUAAAGAGAGCUACAGCACUCAACCCAAGGUUAAAGAAUCUGAAGUGCCUUCCAAAAUCUGAGAGGGACGAGGUGUGGAGCAUGCUUUCAGAAGUCGAAAAAGAGCAACACUCUGAUGCAGAAACCACAGAACCUGAAAAAAGAAAAUCAACCUUCUGCUGGUGGCAUCUGACUUAGAUAAUGAAAUUGAACAUGCGUCGAUCUGCACUGCUUUGGAUUGUUAUGGAGCAAAACCCGUGAUCUUCAUGUCUCCUGGCAUGGUAGUUGAAGCAUGAAGGGACAUAUGAAUCAUAGUGCAUCUGGCAUAUAAAUAUCUUGUGAUGCCAGCAACAGUGCCAUGAGAACGUCUGUUCUCACUUUCAGGUGACACUGUAAACAAGAAGCGGGCAGCAUGUUUCCUAUGUUACUUUGGUUAAGUUACGUCAGUCUCCAUUCAGCAAGGUUUUCAUUAAAUCGGUUGGCAAUGUCUAUGAUCUUAUCUGCCUCAGUGGUCCGUGUUAGAGAUGGGCUCCCGCUAUCUGCCUCUACAGAUUAUGAGCAAAGCAUGGGAAUGCAGCAAUGUAGAAAAUAUUUUAAAACGCUCUCAAAGAAGCUUGCUCAGCUUCCUGAUAGAUGUAUGCUGAAAGCUGGCCAGUAUAAUAUAAGUUUUAUUAGCUCUCUGGGAGUGAGCUACAUGAUGCUGUGCACUGAAAAUUACCCCAGUGUUCUGGCUUUCUGCUUCCUGGAUGAGCUUCAGAAAGAGUUCAUCACCACAUACAAUAUGAUGAGGACAAAUACUGCCAUCCGGCCAUACUGUUUCAUAGAGUUUGAUAAUUUUAUUCAAAGGACCAAGCAGAGAUAUAAUAACCCACGGUCUCUGUCGACAAAGAUAAAUCUUGCUGACAUGCAGACAGAAAUCAAGCUGAGACCACCUUAUCAAAUUUCCAUGUCUGAACUUGGUUCAACUAAUGGAUUUGCACACUUAUCUGCUGCAGAGUUUAAGGGUACUGGUAAGAUAUCUACUGCUCCUCAUCAACGACUGGAAGCUGUUACUUUGCCAGGGAUUGUUUCAUUUAUACUGAGCCUGUUAUGUGGGGCUUUGAAUUUAAUUAGAGGGUUUCAUGCCAUAGAAAGUCUUCUGCAGAACGAGGGUGAAGAUUUCAGUUAUGUCAUUGCGUUUUUCCUUGGAACAGCAGCCUGCUUGUAUCAGCACAGCUGCAUGCUGUCUUUGUUCUGUGGGUCCUUGAUGAGCCAUGGCAUCCUCUGCCCUGCUGCUUUAAAUAGCAGCCAUGCAGAAGAUUCAAGGGAGCAUCAAAGAUCAGAAGGCAUUGGUCAACAUGCAGCUGAGUGUUACUUAUUUUUAUAUUGCACAAGCUGGCGGAAUGUCAAAUCUUUCCUGACUUUUGGUUUAAUUUGCCUAUGUAACAUGUAUCUGUAUGAACUGCGCAAUCUCUGGCAGCUCUUCUUCCAUGUGACAGUGGGAGCGUUUUCAGCAUUACAAAUACGACUAAGACAACCACAAGGGAAGUCCCCUGAUUACAAUGUCUGACCCAAGUCCUGGGAUGUCCCAAGGCAGUCUUGGUCCACCCAUGGUUCCCUCUCAGGAAUGAAAAGCUUUUCUCCAAAAGAAGAAGUUGGUGGUUGUUUUUUUUUGUUUGUUUUUUUGUUUUUAAAGAUCAACGUAAGAUGCCUGUGGACGUUUGUGACUUGAGAAUUUAGACUUAUCCUCAUUGAAGACUGAAGACACAAAGAAUACAGGAUUAGUAGAGGAAAAUGGGUCCUUUUCCAUGCAGAGAAUUGUCCCUUGAGGACAAAUAAAAGUUUGGAGAACUUGACUGAUAGCAGGAAAAAGCCUCCUUCAAAAUGAUCGCGGAAGAAAGCCCCAGCAGUACUCUGAUCCUGCAAUUAGAUCCAUAAGGGCACAGGAAUCUGCUUCUAGAAUCCCCAGUAAUUUCAAUAGGGGUCUGCUUGUGUGGAUCCAUCUGCAUAAUUGGGACAAAAAAAUCUGUAAACUUCGCCAUCUCUAAGUGAUUUUACAGGGGUUUUACAUAUGAAAUUGUAUUCAUCACGUACGCAGCUCCAUUGACCCAAUUGUUAAGUGUAAGAGAGAUUGGAUAAUAUAUUGAGAGGAUAUAAUUAUUCAUGAUGGGACAAAAUUAAGACAAGGAAAAUGUAGGCUCAAGAUCCUGAAAAACUUCCUGACAAUGAGAUGGAUUAGGCUAGAGAAUAACCUUCCAGGAGAAGUGGUGGAAGCUGUUUCUUGGCAUACAAACAUUAGGCUAGACAAAAAACACUGAUAUGUAGACAAAAGGGAAGAGUCAUGCAUGGGCAGGAAGAUUAUCUUGGAAUUUGGGGUCUAAUUGGACUUUUUUUCUGUGAAUUAAUGUUCAGAAAGCACUUUCAAGAUGAAGUCAUCACAACCAAGCUAUAAGUUGUUCACAUUACAAAAAAACUCACUCUUGUCUAAUGAGUUAGCUAGAAAAAAGUGACAUGGGUUUUUUGGUUUCCUUCAGCUGCUUUUGGUCACUUUAGCUGAGAGAAUUCCUAGUAUCAGGUAAGUAUUGGAUACAGCAUGCCCUCUCCUUAGCAAAUUCUACUAUCUCUGAUUUUUAUGAUGCUAUGUUUGGUUUUGGUUGUUUAAAGAAAAGUGGUGUUAACAUAGUGGCUUGCCUGAAGUGUAAAAUAGUUUGUUUCCAGCAGAUGGCAAUAUUUGUAUACCUCUGAGAUUAAAAAAGGGAAAUUCAGAUUCUGGGGAAAUGUAGCAAGUACAGUACUGAUUGUAGAUUUCUAGUCUAACACAUUUCCCCCUCCCCCCAGGGCAAGAUUCAAGAUAUCUUUACUCUGGCAGGAGGAAUUCUAUAACCAAAGGAAAUAGAGGUUAUUUGAAUUUAAUCAUAAUGGUUUUUAUUAAUUUUUUUAAAUUGUCCUUGUUUUCACUUGUAAAGAGUAAACUCAGUUAAAAAAAAAUAUCACUCUCCAUGAUAGGUUAAUCAAUCUAAAUCCAUGCUCAGUACCAGGGCCUGACCAUUUAGUGCUUGAAAAAUUAUACCUCUCAAUCAGCUUUUUUAAUAUUUUGAGAUUAUUGUAUGAACUCCAAGGUUGCUGUACCUAAGUCCUAGAGGCUGAAAUCAGCAGGUUCCUCCAUAGCAUGCACAGGGAGAGAGCGGACAGGGCGACACUAGAGCCUUUGCAGCAGAGUAGCUGUGCCGCUGUAGGUGCUCUCAACUGCUGGGGGAGAGCUCUCCGGUCAGCUGAACGACUGCCACGGGGGCUGGAGCCGCUCUCCUGGUGCCACAGCGCUGUCCACACGGGCUCAGGGGGUGAGUUACACCAACACCAGUGGUGGUUCAGAUGUUGCCUCAGGUUCAAGGCCUUGCUCCAAUAAAUACUUAAAGUGAAAAAGCUCCUUGGCUGUGGGGCAGCAUCAGCACGUGUGUUGCUCGGCCCAUGCCUACGAGCAGCCAUACAGACGCGGACAGUGUUAGGACAACGGUGGUGCCUAAAUGUUGGAUAUAAACACCUACAUGCUUAAAUCUCUUUGCAAAUCUGGCUAUUAGGUGUUCUUCUGAAGAAAACUAGUUCCCCUUCCAGUUGUCCUGGGGAGUUAGCGUGGUAACAGAAUGUGGCAUUCCAACCUUGCUCUCAGUGCUAGGAGGUAUAGCUUGACCCCUUAAACAGAAGUGCCUCAUCCUUCUAAUGCCUAGGCAUGUUAACAAGUCUGUUCCUUAAAAUUGUGUUGUACGUCACACAAGCUAACUUUGAAAGUAGAAGCAAACAAAUCAUGUGCAGCAAAACUCUAGCAUUGUAGGUAGGGUAGCUAUUUCAAAGUAAGAUGAUUUACUAGCAUCUAUUUAAAUAUGCCAGCUAUAACCAGGUUUUCUGAUAUUGGCUCCAAUUUACCUUAGGCAGUUCCUCAAUACACAGUACACACAUAGUGGGGCGUUCAUAGUACAAAUAAGAGGAUCUGUGCUUAAAUAGUCUCACAGUAGAUAACCUGGAUUGGGCAAUGGGUCACAAAACUCCAUUCAACUAGAGUUCUAGGUUUUCUAUACAGAACACAUCAGUUACAUU